CAGCAGCCGCGGGAAUACGUAGGGUGCAAGCGUUAAUCGGAAUUACUGGGCGUAAAGCGUGCGCAGGCGGUUUGUUAAGACAGAUGUGAAAUCCCCGGGCUCAACCUGGGAACUGCAUUUGUGACUGGCAAGCUAGAGUGUGGCAGAGGGGGUGGAAUUCCGCGUGUAGCAGUGAAAUGCGUAGAUAUGCGGAGGAACACCGAUGGCGAAGGCAGCCCCCUGGGCCAACACUGACGCUCAUGCACGAAAGCGUGGGGAGCAAACAGGAUUAGAUACCCGGGUAGUCCCUGUCUCUUAUACA
rnacentral:rRNA from 1 species